rnacentral:rRNA from 1 species
AGUUGAGAGGGUUCGGCCCUCGGCGUACUGCUCAGUAACACGUGGAUAACCUGCCCUAAGGAAGGGGAUAACCCCGGGAAACUGGGGAUAAUACCCUAUAGGUUACAGAUGCUGGAAUGCUCUGUAACCGAAAGUUCCGGCGCCUUAGGAUGGAUCUGCGGCCGAUUAGGUUGUUGUCGGGGUAACGGCCCAACAAGCCAGUAAUCGGUACGGGUUGUGGGAGCAAGAGCCCGGAGUUGGAUUCUGAGACACGAAUCCAGGCCCUACGGGGCGCAGCAGGCGCGAAAACUUUACAAUGCGGGCAACCGUGAUAAGGGAACCUCGAGUGCCUGUAUAUGCAGGCUGUCUGGGUGUCUAAAACACACCUAAAGAAAGGGCCGGGCAAGACCGGUGCCAGCCGCCGCGGUAAUACCGGCGGCUCGAGUGGUGGCCACUUUUAUUGGGCUUAAAGCGUUCGUAGCUGGGUUGUUAAGUCCCUUGGGAAAUCCGACAGCUUAACUGUCGGGCGUCUAAGGGAUACUGGCAAUCUUGGAACCGGGAGAGGUGAGGGGUACUUCGGGGGUAGGAGUGAAAUCCUGUAAUCCUCGAGGGACCACCUGUGGCGAAGGCGCCUCACCAGAACGGCUUCGACAGUGAGGGACGAAAGCUGGGGGAGCAAACCGGAUUAGAUACCCGGGUAGUCCCAGCCGUAAACGAUGUGCGUUAGGUGUAUCGGUGACCACGAGUCACCGAGGUGCCGAAGGGAAACCGUG